rnacentral:tRNA from 1 species
UCCCCGUUAGUGCUAAUGGUAAAACACUUCUUUCGUAAUGAAGAGUUGUCAGUUCGAUUCUGACACGGGGAUC